rnacentral:rRNA from 1 species
GAUCACGGCUCAGGACGAACGCUGGCGGCGUGCUUAACACAUGCAAGUCGAACGAGAAUCUACCGAAAGAGUUUUCGGACAAUGGAUGUAGAGGAAAGUGGCGGACGGGUGAGUAACGCGUGAGGAACCUGCCUUGAAGAGGGGGACAACAGUUGGAAACGACUGCUAAUACCGCAUGACGCAUAGGGGUCGCAUGAUCUUUAUGCCAAAGAUUUAUCGCUUCAAGAUGGCCUCGCGU